AUUGCACUCUGAUACACCGCUCUCUUUAUAUGACAUCCCAUCUGACUGGGGCUGCUUUUACACAAAGACAAUUAGAGGAUGGCUGUUCAGUUCUGCAUGAGGGAUAAUGGCUUGACAGACAGAGAGCAGGUCAGAGCAGUGGAUUGAAGAGCAUGGCGUGAGCUGGGGGAAAGUGCUCUGGGGCACUGGACUGCAUUAUUUAACCUGGGAUUGCCAAGACCUGGAGAUUAAAAGCAUUUGACAAAUUACUGAUUCCUGCACAUUGACAGUAAAGAAG